AAUAAAUCUGGUGUGCACAGGGUGUUGGUGACUGGCACUUAGGGCAUAAGAUUUGUGUAUCACCACCUCCAUUAGAGCUAUUGUCAGAUGCUAAGAGGAAAUGCUGUAUUCCUAGGGCUUCUACUUCAUCAUCCAUAAAAUAGAUAUCCUCAAAUCAGUGUCAUCUUCAACAUGAUUAAUGGAUCAUUCCUGUGAUGUGUCAAAAAGCCUUGCAAAUGGACACAUUGUGUGCUUUGAAGAAACAAAUCACUGAAAUCAUUGUUUCCUCAAACAUGGCUAGUGGGACUCUGUAGGUUUAUAAAAUGUUUCUGGUAGUAAAGGGGCAAUUUUUAAAAUUAUAUCAAUACUUCUAUAUUUAUUUGAAUGUUUACCAGAAAAUAAUAUGACAUGAAGACAAUGCAAAAUAUGCUAUUAUUUGAAUUAUAGGUGUGUCCAUGUGCACAGUAUUUUAGUAAGUGAACAUUGCCUUCUGCCACAGUGGUUGGAAGAAAGAUCAGAUCACAUUAAUCACCAAUAGGGUUUCUCAGUUUCUAAUAAAGCUGAUAUCCUGUGUUCCUUUUAGUGACACUAAAAAAUUUAAGUAAUUUUUGGGAUGUGGACAUGGCAGAAAUUGUGAAAGUACCACACGACUAACUGAAGUUCGGUAAAAUUUGACCUAAGAGAUGCCAUUGUUAAAAUGUUUUUUAUAUUAGAAGAUAAUUGCUUUAUUUACGCAUGCAUUUAUUCAACUAACACUGAAUUUGUUAUUGGUUAGUUAUUAGGCAUACUCACAUAAUUAAGACAUGACUUAUGACCUUGAAUGGCUCAUGCUGUAUUAUGGGAGACAUAAUACAGUUUCAAAAACUCUUCUGUUGAUAUAGGAAUGAAGUAUAAUGGAAAAUGUAGGAAUUAAGAACAAAGAUUCAGGACAGACAUACAGAGGAGGUGCUAUUUGAGUAGGGGUUCACCCAGCAAACAAGAGCAAGGACAGUAUGUCAGGUUGUUGGACUCAUAUCAAAAGUUUGGAGAAAUGUGGGAACGUGAUGCGUGAUUCAUCUCUUCUUGUUCAUUUGUGCAGGGGAAGGGUCUUUUUGAUAAGGUGCAUUCUGGGGAGAAGAAGUGGCAGUGUGUGAGACUAUAAAUGUAAGUAGAGUCUUCAAAUACUUUGAAACGUGUUGGAAUUUGGACUUAAUUUAGGAGCCCAGAAUGGCAGAGACAAGAUGUGCAUGUCACCACCCACCUCAUGUGCUCAUGGAAGACAUCACUAAUCAAUCCCAGCACUCCUUCCAGCUAGGGCCCAUUUCUUCUGCAGACAGAAAUCUGAGGCUGCCUCUCUGAUUGAUUGGAAGUGAUAACUGAGAUGAAACCUAUUUCUAACUUUUGGCAGAGCCUAUGGAGCAAGAAAGAGCUUUUAAUAAGGAUUAGAACAUGAUGCAAAACAGGACAACAGCUGUAUCCUAAAAAUCUAUAUAUUUAAAACAUUUAAACAAAUAAAAAGCAAUACAGACCAACUUCAGUGCCUUUCCAGUGGAAUCAAAGUCACAUAAUCAAGAUUUUCUUUGUUUGUUUUAAACAUGUUUAAUUAGUUACCAAUAUUGAAAAGUUACGAGAUUCAAAAUUUGUUGUUUUUCUUAAACAAUUUGAAAAUUCAAAUACUGUGUCAGUGUUCCCACCUGGCAAUGCCCACAUCCAUCUGAUCAGUAGCUGUGGAUUUGGCUGGACGGGGUUCAGUCCCAUUCACCACGGUUGAUGGCAUUCCCCAUCAUUUACCGUGAAGCUGCUUCCGUGAUUCAUGCUACCUGCCUGGAUGCUGGAGGGAUUUUAUUUUCACCUCCUGCUUAUCUAUCCUAACAGAUAUUCCUAGGUAGAGGUUCUGAUAAAAAUCAUGAAUAAAUGACAUUUUUGUAAAUUGAAUGAUGUUAUACAUGUAUCAGACAAAACUAUGGGAUUUCUUUUCUCAUGAAAAUCCAGGGUUUCCCAUAUCAGAACUUUUCUGAAUUAAGGAAUUCUUAAGUUUUGUUAUUGGGGGGUAACUUCUCAGUCUGUGCAGAACAGGACAUUUUCAGAGUCAGGGAUUCUACUCAGUAUUUCUCACAAUAAAAGAUGUUGAACAUGGGAUCUUAUAAUAAGGUUUUCAAUUCCUUUCCACAAAAAGAGCCUUACGAUUUCCAACGCUGGUUCUGAUCAUGGAGGUGAGAUACUGUAAUUAAACACUCUUCAAUCAGAAAUAUGGGGGGAAGUGAAUUCCUUGGGAGUGAACUUGGAGGUGAACAAGAGUUAGAAAUGUCCUCAAACGAAGAAGUGUUGAGAGUAUUACUGUGGGUUGUAGGAAGGAUAAAGUCCAUGAAAUGGAGAAUGAAAAUCUGGAAAGGAGAGGAAGGUGAUGGGUAGAGCUUCUGUGAUACAUUUUAUUUCAGUGUUUUCAUUAACACAAAACUUUUCUAACUUAUAGGUGAGUAUGUCCGCUACUGACAAGAUCAAGAUUUGAGUCCUGGCAUCUGGUCCAGGCUGUCAUUGCCGCUGACUUCUCCCCGUGCAGGGUUCUGGGGAGGGGUGAGCGGUCUCUCUAAUGGGAUGUCCACAGUCUCUCGACCGUACCUGAGGCAGUGGCAUCUGGGCUUGGCAUUGUGUCAGCAUCUGCAUUUUCACUGUAACAAGAAAAUGGUCGACUAUUCCAUUUUCAGCUGUUCUUGAAACUCCUGUUAUCAUUUUCUCUUUACAAUCCUGGACAGAGUAAUGAGGUUUUAAAUCCUUCCAACAUGCUCUCAAAGGCAGUCACCAGCUCUGUUAGUGUGACCUUUUCAAUACUGCAUGAUUUACGUGGCUGGCCAUUUGUCUCUCCUUUUAAAUAACAGCAAAGAGGGGGAGGAGGGAGUCAGAGGGGCAUGUUACAGCAGAUAUGAAAGGCUCACGGAUGCCUUUUAGCUCCCACCAACAGACUUGGUGUUGGAAUGACUGGACUAGCUUUGAUCUGGCUGUUAGUUGUUUCCUGAAAACCCAUAUAAAUGUGAAAAUGGAAAAACAUACACACCCUUGCUUCUAUAUUGCCUUAUUAACCUCAGCAUUUUCUCAUUAUUUAUCCCCUUUCUCUAAGAGAGAUGUUGACUUCUUUCUCAGAUAGCUUCUGAAAAUAUUCUUAGGAGACACUGAAUCUCCAAGUAAUUUUUUUUUUUUUUAGAGACAGGGUCUUGCGAUGUUGCCCAGUCUGGAGUGCAGUGGUGUGAUCUCUGCAAACUGCACCCUUUGCUUCCUGGGCUCAAGUAAUCUCCCCACCCUAGCCUCCCAAGUAGCUGGGACUACAGGCAUGCACCAGCACAUCUGGCUAAUUUUUUUUUUUUUUUUCAGAGACAGGUUCUCACGAUGUUGCCCAGGCUGAUCUCAAACUCCUGGGCUCAAGGGAUCCUCCCACCUUGGCCUCCCAAGUGUGCUACAAUUACAGAAGUGAGCCACUGUGCCUAGCCUACCAAGCAGUUUUUAAACCACUUUAUUAAUAUAUGAUUAGACCUAUAAAAAGCUGUACAUAUUUAGUGUAUACAACAGGAUGAGUUUGGAGAUAAACUGAUCACCAUUGAUGAAAGCACCACCACAAUCAAGACCAUAAAUCUACCCAUUUCCUCCAAAGGUGUCAUCCUGCUCUCUUUAUUGCAUUUAUUUUUGUUAUAACACACUUAAAAAUUCUAGAGCCUAUUGAUUCAAUGAUUAAUAUUCUCAGGGGCUCUGCAAUACUCAACACAAUGAAUUAACAACUUGCUUCUGAUAGAACUAUUUUGGUAUUGAAGGAAUUCUUUAAUUUUAAUUAUUUUAAUCUUUUUUUUUUUUUUUUUAACAAGGUCUUGCUCUGACACCCAGGCUGGUGUUCAGUGGUGUGAUCACAGCUCACUACCGCCUCCACCUCCUCAAACUCAAUCAAUCCUCCUGCCUCGGCCUUCUGAUGUUUAUCUUUCUUUAAUAAAAAUGGGAUCCUUUUAAAUCUCAGGAAGCUUCAGCCAAUUUAGAUGACCCAUAGAUUUUAGUACCUGCACCACUCCUGUAAUUAUAUUAAUUUACUGUCUUAUCGUACUCUCCAAUUCUUCCACAUAUCUCUAUCGUAAACACUUGAAGGAGAAGAGCCUGAUGUUUGCGGUUCUUCAGUGCCUGGGCAACUGUCCUGGUCCAGGUGAGACAGCUUUGCGUAGAGAUCACAAAACUGUAUGCCUGCAGGACCUAGGCAGGUAGCAUGUGUGGGUGGGAAGGAUUGUUUUGUUUUGUUUUUGUAUGGUAAAGUUAUAGACAUAUUGUUUACUUUUAUAAAGUGCUAUGUUGACCCUAUGUUUUUCUUCUAAACGUAUUCCCGUAUGGUUCCCUUUCAUGUCCCCCCUUGAGGGAGGUGCGGACAGGAAGCAAGUAUGAAGAUAAACCACAGCUGACAGUCAGUCAGCUCAGUGGUGGAGCCACACUUGGGCCAGUGGCCCUGAUGUGUAAGACAUCGUUACUCAGUUCCAGCCAGCUGCUGCCAUGCGGGGUUGCUGAUUUACUGUUUCCACUUACUCUAUUUUUUUAAAAAGAGACUAACAUUCUCAAUUUUUAAGUGAAAGCUGCCAAUUAACAAAAUUAUUGACUUGUACUCUUUUGAAUUUCCCAGAGUAAACAAAAUAAAAUUCCAGGCAAGAAAAAUCCAUGGACUCACCUAUUAGCAACUUCCGGUGCAAAUAAAUGACUCAACUUAAUAUUAAAUAUCUCUACACUUCUGUGAUUAUGGAAGGAUAGAUUUGCAUUUUGAACAGAUUUCACAGUUACUUUAUUUUUUAGCUUAAAAUGUAUCAAGAGUUAAUUCAUUAAGCAUGUAUUUCAUAUAUUUGUCUAAUGUAUAGAAGGCAUAUUGACGACUAUAUUCAAGUAUGUGUUUUAAGACAUAUAUAUGUACAUUUGCUUAUAUAUGUGUAUAUAUACCUAUAUUUUAUUAUAUAUUCCAUUUUAAUGUAGAAUUGGAGUUAUAUUUGGUUCUGAGGAAUAUAUAUUAAUUAGAUAGUUUAAUUAGGUUUGGUGAGGAUCUAAAAUGGAAGGUGUAUGAUCUAUUAUUCAAGAUAGAUUCUAUACUCCUUGCUGAUUUACUUUUUCUCAUUAACAGUUGUCAUCGCCACAUUUAUUUAGCUGAUUUGUUAUCUGUCUUCCCCACUGGAACAUAGGCACCACGAGGCAGGUUCUCUCGGCAUCAUUCACUCAUGUCCCCAGUGCUCAGAACAGAAUCUGUCACAAUCUAGGAACUCAUUAAAUGAUGGUUGAAUAAUCGAAUGAAAGAUUUUGUUUUUGGAGACCAUUUUUUAGAAAGCCAAGGAAGGAUAAUUACUGCUGUCUUGCACUGAUCACAUAUCACCUUGGUCCGUUUAAUUCAUAUGUCUGUAGUAACAAAGACAAUUCUUGGUGUACUUAUCCCAGCUUGGGGAUAAGGCAGGCAGGGCUGAAUGCCAAGGGCCACACAGCCCAAUCCCCUGUGUUGAGGUGGGCUGGACUCAGGCGUCUGCACCGUGCUUAGGAUACAAAGCACUCACUUUUGGGAUGCCCCCAGCCUCAAGAGGGUCAAGACGAAGUUUCCUGGUGACAAGGAGAAUGAGGUCUUCCAGGUCAGGAUAUGUUAUGACCACAGGUGGACUCAUUGAUGCCAGUUCAUUUCACUUUAUAUUUGACAGACAUUACUGAGCAUCUACGUUAUUCCAGGAUCUGUGAAAGUGUGUAAUAGAAAUAAAACAUUUCCAUUCACAUCUUGUGAUAAAUUUUCUGAUCAGUUACCUAGAGUCUAGUCUUUGGGGAGGAAGCAGGGGCAAUAACUACUCUCAAAAAUAUGUUAGGGGAGUAAGUAGAUAGUUAAACAAAUAAAGGUAACAUAGUGGGAAAAAAGCUAUAAUAGAGAGUAUCACAGGCACACAAAUGAGGAAGUGAUCCUGCUAUUUGAAAGUUGGACAAAACUUCACAGGAGAAAACAUUGAAUUGCUUCUUUUUUUAAAAUGGUCCAUAUUUAUAAUAACAUGACCUAGAAUCCCACCAUGCAGAAAUAACCACUUUUAACAUCAGGAAGCAAUAUUUUUACACUUCCUUUGCAUAUAUAGUGUGUAGAACAUAUUACUUGCUUCCCUUUUUACUUAAUGGUAUGCACAAACAUAUUUCUGUGGCUUAAUUUUUUAUGAUAUCCCAUUAUUUGUAAUUUAAGCAAUUGCUAUCAUCAUUUCCCAGUGAGCUACAUAUUUAGAUUAAUUUUAGUUUUAUUUUUUCCCCACUGAAAACAAUGCUAUCAUAAGUAUCCCUCUUGCUAAAUGUUGUAUAAAUCCAUUUGUUUUGCUAGGCUACAUUCUUUGUUUCUCGAGAUGUUUUUGUUACACUCUUUUUGAAAGUGCAGAAAUUUUAAGGAUAAAACUUGAUAAAUUAUCUCAGUAUUAACAGGCUUACACACACACCUCUGAAAUCAAGACUUAGAACAUUACCAGCAUGUCAGAGGUUACCCUGUGCCCCUCUCAAUUGUACUGACUUUCUUCUUUUCUGAAGGAACUCUUAAGCUUAAUUUUUGGAUGUGAAGUUAUGUUUAAAAGGAAGUUCAUUUAUUAGGCUUUUGAAACAUACUGCCAAAUUUUCCUCCAAAAAAGCUUUACCUGUCUAUCCUAUUUCUGUUCACUUUCUUAAACCUCUAUUGUUAUAGUAAAUACAUAUAUGUAUUGUGAAUAUAUAUUAUAAAUAUAACUGUAUUGUGAAUAGAUAGUAAAUAUAUGUAUACCUUUUGUAAAUAUUUAUCUAUUAUAAAUAUGUAUAUACAGCAUUGUCA
rnacentral:lncRNA from 1 species